CCCGCCCGGCCGGGGGAGGGGGACAGCUAGUGGCUCCCGGCUCUCCUGCGUCAGCGCGGGGGCCCGGCCUCCGAGUCCCUGCCCCGCGCUGGCGGGACCUGCUCUCUUCCCAGGCCUCCAGGCGCUCGUCGCAAUCUGAGGAGGAAGCAAUUGAGGGCACGGUGCCCGCGAGGUGGGGCGCGCGCUCCGGACAUCUUCGUCCCCCAGUGACUCCCCGAGCUUGGGGUUAGAGCAGAGGUGAGAGACUAGAGGAGACAGGGCUGAUGCCCACGCCGGGAAAGCUCUCGCUGACCCUAAGCGGCGCAGGCAUCUCGGUCCUCAUUUUGCAGGUGAGGAGCCCAAGGCUCAGAGGGGAAGUGACAAGGUCGCAGGCAAUAAGGCGAGGGUUAAUUGGAGCCCAGAUUGCAAGCCUGGUCUUAGCUGGUCCCGGAAGCCGCGCUUUCCCGCCACUCCGCACUGGCCGGUGGCGGGAAGAGACCAGGGGGGCACCAGUGGGAGGCUGAGCUGCCCCUGUGCCCUCCACCUGCCCCUGGCGAAAGCGACCCAAGCCGCCGCACCCUUCCCGCCCCGCACGUGCUCGCCCCUCCCCGUGGAAUGUCACCGGCGCGGGCCUUUCCGCCCUGCAGGGCUGCUCCCCAUCCUCCUUGCCAACGCUUCAGGCUUCUCUGACCUGUACGCAGGGCUCAGAGCAUUUGAUCGGGUCACUUGCCCCCUCACCUCCUUCCGAAGUUCCGUCCCCCAGCCACCUGACAGGCCCAAGGGCAGCUCCCCGCCUCCUGACCGCUGCAGCCCCGACCUGCCUGCCGGCCCUUCUCUGACCUCUUUCACAGAAUGUCCCUCACCUCCUUUACAGAGCCUGCGGUGUGGACACUUUACAAAGCGCUUUUAAUAGGAAGAUCCACCUUGUAUUGAUGUGGUUUUUUUGCACACCGAGGGCUUUAAGUGCAUUUUCUCCUUGAACUUCCGGAGCAAAGUCCACCAAAUCCAGCUGUGGAUACAACAUCUGUCAGGCCGCAGGGCCAGUCCCUGCCAAGAGCGCAUCUCCGCAGCCCUCGCCCUAUGGUGAUGUCACUGUUCUGUGUCUCCACGGCAACCACAGGCUGGGAAGAUGGAGAAGAGGAGAGCCGAGUAACCGAGAGAGAGCCAAUGAGAUGGGCCAGCUGCACCGGAUGAUCCGUGGGGCCAUGGGGCGGGGCUGGGGGGAGAGCAGGGGGCCUACUCAGCAUCUUGGGCUGCUUCCUGGACCCUCCCCGCCAUCUGGACGCCUCCGAUAGGGGAUGUGCCACUGGCACGGGGAGAAAUGCCGGAGGUAGAGGCCAAAGAAGCUGAGCUGGAGCCUCCACUGACCCAGGGACAUAGAGACCCCCCCAUAACCUCUUCGGGGCCUAAUCUGUGCAUGUUGACUGCCCCACUCCACCCCCAGGACCUGCUGCUGGAAUUUUUUUUUUUUUUUUUUAUGGUAAUGGUGGUGCAGCCCUCUGCCACGGAAUCAAGUCCUUAACCCUUCUCUCCACACCCUCCAUAGCUUCCCCUGGUGCAUGAUGUAUUCAGAAGCGGCAUCUUUGGAAAGAAGCCUGGUUCUAAAUCCCAAGCCUGCAACUUACUAGUCAAGAGACUAGGAGCCAGUCCCUUCCCCUUCUGAGUCUCCUUUCCUCCCAAAUGGAGGAAGGGCCAUCUACUCCCAGGGUUGACAGGAGGAUUAAAAGAGACAACAUAUGGAAGCCUAACACACAGAAUACUCAAUGAGUGGUGAUUACGUUCUCCCUUCUGGGUCUCCCCGGAGCAGUUUUCCCAGAGACGCACGUGAAUGAGCCAAGGCCCUUUGAGACAUUGAACCAAUAGCAAAGGACCAGGUGUGUCUGUCUCCUCACUGGGGCCAUUAAGUGCCUUCAGAUACUGCAGACAAGUUUUCCACAUCUCUCCCAGUCUCCGUGAGUACCUCCUGCGCCCAGACGCUGUGCUGGGCUCAGCAGGUUCCAGGGGAGACAGAAGAGCCACAGCCCCCAUCCUCCCUGAGCUCACUAUGUAGGGGGAUUGCAGCGCGGUGGCUGGAAUGCCGUGUUCUUUCUGCCACAAGGAAAUCGCUUCCUCGUUCCCCAAGAGUUCUAGAUACUGUGGGUCUGAGAGAACAAAUGAUGGCAAGAGGUCGGGAUUUACUCAACACCAGUUGCUUCUGAGAAACUGCUGCCUGUGGCACAUGCUCCCUGGAAGGAGAACAAUGGUUCUCUCUGCCCAGGGAGGAGAGGGGGUAGCUCAGGGUGGUGGGGCGGUCACCUCGGCUUUCCCAGAAGCCAGCUGUCCUCCCUGUUGGCAGAAUAAAGCCCAAACUCUUCCGCCUU